AGCCUAAACCUAGAGAUUAUUCUAUAGGCAUGGCACUAAAUAUACCCACCUGCAUUCUGAACCCGUCGUUCAGCUCCAUGCAGGUGGUCUAUACCCGAAAGGGUAUAGGAAGGCGAAAGCCUUC
rnacentral:sRNA from 12 species